rnacentral:lncRNA from 1 species
CCUGGGAUUACAGGUGUGCACCACACGCCUGGCAUGUACACUAUUUCUUUCUCUUGACUGGCAUUGGCUAGAAUUCCAGAAUAAUGCCUCAUAAUGAUGACACUGACAACUAUGUCUCCCUCCUGACUUCAAUGGGAACAGUUCUAGGUUCAUCGUUAAAUAAGCUGCUGGCUUUUGACUUCAAAUGUAUUUUUUAUCAUGGUAAGGAGGUAUUCAAUCAUUUUAAUUUUACUGACAGCUUGUUUUGUUAAUCUGAAUGGAUGCUGAGUUUUAUACAUGCCUUUUCAGAAUCUCUGGAGAUAAUUAUGUGGUUUCUCUCCUGUGAUCCAUUAAUAUGGUAAAUAGUAAUAAUAAAUAUCCUAACAGAUUAAUCUUUGCAAUACAGCAAAAUACUGUUUUUUUUUCCAUUUUAGAAUGGCAAAGAUGAGAUUUUUAAAAAAUGUUUUUUAUAGUUGUAGAUAGACAGCAUGCCUUAGUUUAUUUGUUUAUUUUUGUGUGGUGCUGAGGAUCGAAC